UACGUAGGGGCUAGCGUUAUCCGGAAUUACUGGGCGUAAAGGGUGCGUAGGUGGUUUCUUAAGUCAGAGGUGAAAGGCUACGGCUCAACCGUAGUAAGCCUUUGAAACUGGGAAACUUGAGUGCAGGAGAGGAGACUGGAAUUCCUGGUGUAGCGGUGAAAUGCGCAGAUAUCAGGAGGAACGCCGAUGGCGAAGGCAGGUCUCUGGACCACUACUGACGCUGAGAAGCGAAAGCAUGGGGAGCGAACAGGAUUAGAUACCCCCUGUAGUCCCU
rnacentral:rRNA from 1 species